CGCGGCCUAUCAGCUUGUUGGUGAGGUAAAGGCUCACCAAGGCAUUGACGGGUAGCUGGUCUGAGAGGACGAUCAGCCACACUGGGGCUGAGACACGGCCCAGACUCCUGCGGGAGGCAGCAGUGGGGAAUCUUGCGCAAUGGGCGAAAGCCUGACGCAGCAACGCCGCGUGGGGGAUGAAGGCUUUCGGGUUGUAAACCCCUUCCAGCAGGGACGAAAUUGACGGUACCUGUAGAAGAAGCCCCGGCCAACUACGUGCCAGCAGCCGCGGUAACACGUAGGGGGCGAGCGUUGUCCGGAAUUAUUGGGCGUAAAGGGCUCGUAGGCGGUUCGGUAAGUCAGAUGUGAAAGGUUGGGGCUCAACCCUAAGACUGCAUUUGAUACUGCCGUGACUAGAGUCCGGUAGAGGAGUGUGGAAUUCCUGGUGUAGCGGUGAAAUGCGCAGAUAUCAGGAGGAACACCGACGGCGAAGGCAGCACUCUGGGCCGGUACUGACGCUGAGGAGCGAAAGUGUGGGUAGCAAACAGGAUUAGAUACCCUGGUAGUCCACGCCGUAAACGUUGGGCACUAGGUGUGGGACCUUAUCAACGGGUUCCGUGCCGUAGCUAACGCAUUAAGUGCCCCGCCUGGGGAGUACGG
rnacentral:rRNA from 1 species